rnacentral:lncRNA from 1 species
GGUCAGCUCAUUUCUUAUCCGAAUUGAUUGAUUCGUCAUAAUAUUCCACCCGAGUUGAAAGUAAGUCGAUUUCAGCUAGGAUUAUGGCUUUUGUCCCGAACGCUAACUUGAAUGGAGUCUCUUCGAUCAGGAUCCAAGGAGCCGUUCAGUAAGCCAUAAGACACUGUAGAGUUCGUCGGCCCAACUUCUUUUGGGUUAAUCGAUUCUCAUUUUUAGGCCUUGCAAAAUCAUCCUGUUGGUCACCUCAUCUUCUCCGUUGGAUUGUGGAUGCUUGAUUGAAGUGAGCUUG